GUGCUGAAUAGGUUUCCUGAUAAUCGUGAAAUAUAUGAUAAAAUUACCAAGCUCUUGAAGGACUUGAGACUUGCAAGAGUUCGUUCUGCUUACAAUGAUGUCAUAUCAAAGGUGAGUCAACUCUUUAAGGAACACAAAGACCUGCUUUUGGGUUUCAAUAAGUUCUUGCCGCCGGGCUAUAAGAUAACACUCCCGAAGGAUCAAACUCAACGAAGGAAGCCUGAGUUUCGGGAUGCUGCUGAAUUUAUCAACAAGGUCAAGGAAAGGUUACAAGACGAGCAUGCAUACAAGUCCUUAUUAGAGAUAUUGCGAAUGUUCA